CCUACGGGAUGCAGCAGUGGGGAAUAUUGGACAAUGGGCGAAACCCUGAUCCAGCGACGCCGCGUGAGUGAAGAAGUCUUUCGGUACGUAAAGCUCUAUUAUCAGGAAAGAAAAUGACGGUACCUGACUACGAAGCCCCGGCUAACUACGUCCCAGCAGCCGCGGUACUACGUCGGGGGCAAGCGUUAUCCGGAUUUCCUGGGUGUCAAGGGGGCGUAGACGGCGGGGGAAGUCUGGAGUGAAAUGCCGGGGCGCAACCCCGGAACUGCUCUGGAAACUGUGAAGCUGGAGUGCAGGAGAGGUAAGCGGAAUUCCUGGUGUAGCGGUGAAAUGCGUAGAGAUCAGGAGGAACACCGGCGGCGAAGGCGGCUUACUGGACUGUAACUGACGUUGAGGCGCGAAGGCGUGGGGAGCAAACAGGAUUAGAUACCCCUGUAGUC
rnacentral:rRNA from 1 species